GUUGUACUCCCUCCGUCCCAAAAUUCUUGUCUUAGAUUUGUCUAGAUACGGAUGUAUCAAGUCACAUUUUAGUAUUAGAUACAUCCGUAUCUAGACAAAUUUAAGACAAGAAAUUUGGGACAGGGGAGUACAUA
rfam:Triticum aestivum genome assembly, contig: Triticum_aestivum_CS42_TGACv1_scaffold_569825_7AS